rnacentral:rRNA from 1 species
CCUACGGGUGGCAGCAGUGGGGAAUAUUGCACAAUGGGGGAAACCCUGAUGCAGCAACGCCGCGUGAAGGAAGACGGUUUUCGGAUUGUAAACUUCUUUAGGCGGGGAGCAAUGCCGGGCACGCGUGCCCGGAGGGAGAGUACCCGCAGAAUAAGCAUCGGCUAACUCCGUGCCAGCAGCCGCGGUAAUACGGAGGAUGCGAGCGUUAUCCGGAUUUAUUGGGUUUAAAGGGUGCGUAGGCGGAUUUUUAAGUCAGCGGUAAAAUGUCCGGGCUCAACCCGGGCCGGCCGUUGAAACUGGGGAUCUUGAGUGGGCGAGAAGUAUGCGGAAUGUGUGGUGUAGCGGUGAAAUGCAUAGAUAUCACGCAGAACUCCGAUUGCGAAGGCAGCAUACCGGCGCCCGACUGACGCUGAGGCACGAAAGCGUGGGGAUCGAACAGGAUUAGAUACCCCUGUAGUC